UAUUGUUGUUCGAGGAAGCAUUAAUAUAUUACAGUACUUUAACAGAAAGGCAUAUAUAGGGUAAAAGAAAAAAAGCAGAUAGCAUGUGAUUUUUCUCUCUCUCCAAAAAAAAAAAAAAAAGCCAACUGCUUCUAGCACAAAUAAUAAAGAAUUUAGUGGUUAGUUUCUGAGAUUUCAAAUUUGAAUUCUAAUUGAUUCACAUUUCUAACUAAAUUUAUUUUUUAAACAAUAAAGGAAGCGGUUGCAUGCUACCUUUCUCUCUAAAAAUAAAAAAUUAGAAUAACAUAUUUUAUAUUUAAUUAAAUUUUUAGAAUCAGAUAAAUCAUCUUAUAUUUAGAAAAAAUGUGUUAUCUUAUCAAAUCAUAGGCGGCAAGACUAUUUCAAGAAACAAAAAAUCAAAUAUUUUGCCUCCAAUCAUACAACAAAAAUCUCAGGGGAAUAAGUCAUUCGAGAAUAACUUAUUCUAACAUCCAUCCAAUCCGAUAAAAUCCUUAGGCUUCGUUUGGUUCGGGUAUAAACAAGAUUAGCUAUUAUAGGGAUAGGAGGAAUAAGAAAAAUUGCGUUUGAAUGAAAAUUGGAUUGUCUCCGGGAAUAAGAAAAAUAACGUUUGGAUAAAUAAUAUGAAAUAAGAAAAAUAAUAAGUAGUUAUAUAUAAAAAAUGGAGGUGUUGGUGGGAAUAGUUAUAUAAACUUAUUUCAGGUAUCCGAGAACUACUAUUCUCGGAUAAAAAAUUUGCGUUUGGGUAUAAAAGGGGAUAAGGGGUUAUCCCUCGCCUUAUCCCCGAUCCAAACACUACCUUAGUUUUUUUUUUUUUUUUUUUUUUUUUUUUUUUUUUUUUUAAAGAGAUAGGUAGCACGCUACCCGCUUCGUUUAUUUCAUUUCGAAAUAAACUUAGCUGAAAAUGUGAAUCAACUAGGAUUCAAAAUUGGGUCUCAGAUACCAACUACCAAGCCCUUUGCCAGUUGCUCUAGAAAUGAUCGAUAACACUUAGGGCGUGUUUGAUUCGCUUUUUUUUCACACUGGAAUCAGAAUCAGAAUGGAUAAAUUCGUUUGUGGGUGUUUGGUACGCGGGAGUUCCAUUCCGAUUCCGAUUCCCGAGUGGAAUGGGAAUCCCCCAAUCACCUCUUUUUUCAAUCCGGUCUAGGAGGCCGAAUUGAAAGUUGAAUUCGGGCGGAAUUGAUAUUUAUUCGGAUUAAAUUUAUUUUUUCAACUUUUUAAAUUAAAAUAUGAGUUAAAAUUUUAAAAUUAAAUAUAUAAUUUUAAAAUUUAAUUUAAACUUAAAUUAAAAAUUAAAAUUUAAUCAAGUAUUUCGAAUCUAACUUAUGAAUUUAAAUUUAAAUUAAAUUUAAAUUUAUAUAAAAUAUUAUUCAAAUUUUAUUUCAAACUUAAAUUAAAUUUAUAUAUUCAAAUUAAAAUUUAAAUUGUAAUUUUAAAUUUGAAUUUGAAUAAAUCAAAAUUUAGUUUCAUAUUUUAAAUUAUCUACUCAACUUCAAAGUUUAAUUUUUUUAAAAAAAAUUGAUUUAAAAUUUUGACAUUAUUUCAAAAUUUUGAUGUAAAUUUUUAAUAUUUAAUUUUUAAUUUGAAUUUAAAUUAAUAUAUUAUAAAGAUAAUGUUAGUAUAUUAAUUUGAUUACAUUUUUUAUAUCCACCUGAACCAAACACCGAUAAUGAAAAUAAUUUAUUCCGAUUCCGAUUCAGGUGAUGAACCAAACAGAAUUAGGUAAUGAGUCAUUCCGAUUCCGAUUCUAGCUUAUUUUGAUUCCGAUUCCGAUUUUGAUUCCGACUUCGAACCAAACGCCCUUAGUUUUUAAACAUCGACUUCCCAUAACACUAGAAGC
rnacentral:lncRNA from 1 species